AAUAGAUACCCGGGUAGUCCACGCCGUAAACGAUGUCGACUUGGAGGUUGUGCCCUUGAGGCGUGGCUUCCGGAGCUAACGCGUUAAGUCGACCGCCUGGGGAGUACGGCCGCAAGGUUAAAACUCAAAUGAAUUGACGGGGGCCCGCACAAGCGGUGGAGCAUGUGGUUUAAUUCGAUGCAACGCGAAGAACCUUACCUACUCUUGACAUCCACGGAAUUUAGCAGAGAUGCUUUAGUGCCUUCGGGAACCGUGAGACAGGUGCUGCAUGGCUGUCGUCAGCUCGUGUUGUGAAAUGUUGGGUUAAGUCCCGCAACGAGCGCAACCCUUAUCCUUUGUUGCCAGCGGUUCGGCCGGGAACUCAAAGGAGACUGCCAGUGAUAAACUGGAGGAAGGUGGGGAUGACGUCAAGUCAUCAUGGCCCUUACGAGUAGGGCUACACACGUGCUACAAUGGCAUAUACAAAGAGAAGCGACCUCGCGAGAGCAAGCGGACCUCAUAAAGUAUGUCGUAGUCCGGAUUGGAGU
rnacentral:rRNA from 1 species